rnacentral:lncRNA from 1 species
GUCGCUGGUCAGACCUCAUGACUCACUUGGACUCUUGAGCCACCUCUGGGGGUGGAGUCUCUCUCCUGGCAUCUGGACCCUUGGUGCUAUCGACGAAGCUUGGCUGGCACUCUUAGCUGCUAUGUGCAAGACAUGUGUCCCAGGGAAAGCCCCUCUCUCUCUGCAGAGGUCAAGUGAAAGCCACAGCUGCAGCCAACAGAGUUCAAAAUGCAGGCUUGGAAAGUCCAGGGGGCUCUGUGGAGGAUGGGAAGGACUGAUCCACAUUCCCACCAGGAAGUUUAGCGGAACCCCCGCAUGCCACCUGGACCCCCUGGAAGGACCUGGCCAAGGCUGGAGCACCUCUUGAGAGGCAGGAGCUCCGGAUUUGAUCAAGAAUUCUUGGCUGAGCAUGGUGCCUCAUGCCUAUAAUCCCAACACUUUGGGAGGCCAAUGUGGGAGGAUCUCUUGAGCCCAGGAGUUCAAGACUAGCCUGGGCAACACAGGGAGACCCCAUCUCUAAAAAAAAUAAUAAUAAUAAAAUAAAAAAUUAGCAGGGCAUGGUGGCAUGUGCCUGUAGUCCCAGCUACCCAGGAGGCUGAGGCAAGAGGAUGGCUGGAGCCUGGGACGUUGAGGCUGCAAUGAACUGUGAUUACCCCACUGCACUCCAGCCUGGGCAAAAGAGCGAGAGACCCUGUCUCAAAUAAUAAUAAUAAUAAUGAUAAUCUUAUUUUGGAGAAUAAAGAGACCUCUGGAUUUGAGGUGCCAUUUGGGUAGAAAGAAAAGACCUUUACCCUGAGAAACAGUCUGUGUUGACCUGAAGGAGCAGAGGGAUGCAUCGCUGGAGGUGACCUACAGUUGAAGAAGACUCAUUAUGACAGACCUUGUCCUUCUUCCUUGUGGAAAGUGUUUCCUCUGCUGCUACUGCUCAUGAGA